CAGCACCUCAAGUGGUCAGGAUGCUUAUUGGGCCUAAAGCAUCCGUAGCCGGCUCUGUAAGUUUUCAGUUAAAUCUGUACGCUUAACGUACAGGCUGCCGGGAAUACUGCAGAGCUAGGGAGUGGGAGAGGUAGACGGUACUCGGUAGGAAGGGGUAAAAUCCUUUGAUCUAUUGAUGACCACCUGUGGCGAAGGCGGUCUACCAGAACACGUCCGACGGUGAGGGAUGAAAGCUGGGGGAGCAAACCGGAUUAGAUACCCGAGUAGUCC
rnacentral:rRNA from 1 species